CACGUAGGGGGCGAGCGUUGUCCGGAUUUAUUGGGCGUAAAGGGCUCGUAGGCGGCUCAGUAAGUCGGGUGUGAAACCUCCAGGCUCAACCUGGAGACGCCACUCGAUACUGCUGUGGCUAGAGUCCGGUAGGGGAGCAUGGAAUUCCUGGUGUAGCGGUGAAAUGCGCAGAUAUCAGGAGGAACACCGGUGGCGAAGGCGGGUCUCUGGGCCGAAAUUGACGCUGAGGAGCGAAAGCGUGGGGAGCGAACAGG
rnacentral:rRNA from 1 species